rnacentral:rRNA from 1 species
AUGCUACAAGGAAGGAUACCAAGUUUUGCAAACUGCUCAAAGCUCAGGGUGCUGGAUGUUUCAUACAACAAUCUAGUUGGCCAAUUUCCUACUGAGUUGCCUCCUGUCCUUCAGGUGCUGCGUGUUGGGACUAAUAACCUUACUGGCACCAUCCCAGCUUCUCUUGUCAAUAUAACAACACUAACCACCAUUAGCUGCCUGAAUAAUCAAAUCAAAGGAAAUAUCCCAAGUGAGUUUGCAGAUCUGCCCAGCUUGCAGUACCUGUAUGCAGGUGGCAAUAAGCUGGCAGGCAGUUUUCCACAAGCCAUCUUGAAUCUUUCUACUCUCAUUGAACUUGACCUUGGUCUCAACGGUUUAAGUGGAGAUCUGCCACCAAAUCUCUGUACCGCUCUCCACAAUCUCCAGACACUUUUUUUGGGUGGCAACAUCUUUCUAGGCGGGCACAUUCCUAGUUCAUUAAGUAGUGCUUCCAAUCUAUACGAAGUUGAUUUUUCAGGUAACAACUUCACCGGAUUGGUGCCCACCACUAUUGGCAAACUUACCCAGCUCUCGUCGUUGAAUCUUGAAAAGAAUCAACUCCAAGCACAUAGCAGGGAAGAAUGGGAGUUUUUGGACAGCUUAGGCAAUUCCACGGACCUACAGAUGUUCUCCGUUAGUCGGAAUCGCCUAUCAGGGCAUGUCCCAAAUUCAUUAGGUAACCUUUCCAAUCAACUCCUGGAGAUAUACUUGGCAGAAAAUCAACUAUCAGGGGAUUUUCCUUCCGGCAUAGCAAACCUUCGCAACUUGUUUAUUCUAACAUUGGGGAUGAAUCAAUUUACAGGUGUGGUUACGGAGUGGAUUGGAUCUGUCAAGAUUUUGCAGCAAUUAGUUUUAGAAGCAAACUUCUUUACGGGGGUCAUUCCGUCAUCCUUGUCAAACUUGUCUCAAUUGGGAGAGCUCUAUCUAUCCUCGAACCACUUCAUUGGUCACAUACCAGCAAGCUUUGGAAACUUUUCGACGCUUCAAAAUUUGGACAUUUCCAACAACAAUCUUCAUGGUAGGGUUCCUUUGGAGAUCUUUAAAAUCCCAACAAUAUUUCAGAUUGAUUUUUCUUUCAACAAUCUAGAUGGCCAACUUCCUACCGACAUUGGCAAUGCCAAACAACUCGUACAUUUGGUACUUUCAUCAAACAAACUAUCUGGUGAUAUUCCCAAAACUCUGGGUGAUUGUGAAAGUUUAGAAGACAUUGAGUUAGACUCAAAUAUUUUUGGUGGCAGUAUUCCCUCUUCAUUAGACCACAUAACCAGCCUCAAAUUUUUGAACUGUUCUAGCAAUAACUUAACUGGGUCAAUACCACUAUCUCUUGGCAACCUACAACAUCUUGAGAAACUAGAUUUGUCAUUCAACCAUCUUCAAGGCGAGGUUCCAGCAAAAGGGAUAUUCAAGAAUGCAACUGCCAUUCGGAUUGAGGGGAACCAGGGACUGUGUGGUGGGCCAUCAGAGUUACUCAUGCAAGCAUGCGUUGUUACGCCUUCAAAUUCAACUAGAAACAAUGAAUCUUUAGUGCUCAAAGUAGUUAUCCCAAUAAUCAGUAUGGUUUUACUUGGUAUGGUCAUAUUUGGCAUAUUGAUAUGGAGAGGAAAGCAUAAGAGCAAAUCUAUAUCUGUACCAUCAUUUGCUACAAAAUUUCCCAAGAUUUCUUUUAGUGAUCUAGCCAGAGCGACAGAGGGAUUCUCAACGUGCAACUUAAUUGGCUGCGGGAGAUACAGUUCUGUAUAUCGAGGAAAUCUAGUUGAAGAUGAAAUUGAGGUUGCCAUAAAAGUCUUCAACUUAGAGACAAGAGGAGCACACAAGAGCUUCAUUGCAGAAUGUAAUGUGUUGAGAAAUGUGCGGCAUCGUAAUCUGGUCCCUAUCCUAACUGCGUGCUCAAGCAUUGAUUCUACUGGUAAUGAUUUCAAGGCCCUGGUGUAUGAGUUCAUGCCACGCGGAGACUUACAUAAUCUGUUAUAUUCAACUAUAGACUAUGAAGGCUCUUCAGAUUUGGACCUUCUUACAAUGAGUCAAAGGAUGUGCAUCGUGGUGGAUGUAGCGGAUGCAAUGGAGUACCUACACCAGAACAACCAAGGAACAGCGGUUCAUUGUGAUCUGAAGCCUAGCAACAUUCUAUUGGAUGACAAUAUGACAGCUCAUGUUGGAGACUUUGGCUUAGUAAGAUUCAAAGUUGGUUCCGCGACGUCAUCUCUUGCUAACCCAAGCUCUUCUUCGGUUGGACUAAUGGGAACGAUCGGAUAUGCUGCUCCAGAAUACGCAGGCGGUGGUCAAGUUUCAACUGCCGCGGAUGUUUACAGCUUUGGUGUCGUCCUUCUCGAAAUAUUCCUUCGGAGAAGGCCAACUGAUGACAUGUUUAAGGAUGGACUGAGCAUUGUGAAGUUAACAGAGAUCAGCUUCCCUGAUAGGGUAAUGGAGAUUGUCGAUCCUCAGCUCGUACAAGAGUUGGAGCUUUGCCAAGAAACUCCAACAGCUUUGAAGGAAAAAGGUGUACGCUCUCUGCUAUCUAUGCUAAACGUUGGCCUUUCUUGCACGAAGCCUUCUCCGCAUGAACGCACCAACAUGCACGAGGUGGUUGCCAAGCUACCUGAAUAA